UUUCUGUGACCUUUGAACAUAUCCCUUAGCCAGGCGUGGUGUUUCGCCUUUAAUCCCAGCACUUGGGAGGCAGAGGCAGGCCGAUUUCUGAGGUCAGCCUGGUCUACAAAGUGAGUUCCAGGACAGCCAGGACUAUACAGAGAAACCCUGUCUCGAAAAACCAAAAAAAAAAAAAAAAAAAAAAAGAAAGAAAGAAAAAAAAAAACCCAUAUCCCUUACUUUGUGUAUAUUUGUGAAUAUACACAUUUGUGUUUGUGUGUGCAGGUGAGUGUGUUUUGUGUGUUUACCAAUGAAUAUCAGAGGUCAACUUUGAUGGUUGUUCCUCAGGACACCAUCUGCUGUGUUUUUUGAGACAGCGUAGUAAAUGAGACUUGAGGCUUGCCAGUUGGCUUAGUUCUGUCUCCAUUCCCGAGUGCUGGGAUUACAAGUGUAUGCCACUUCACCCAGCAUUUUGUGCAAGUCCUGGGAUUCAAAUUAAAGCCCGUGCUUGUGUGGCCAGCACUUUAUCACCUCAGCUAUUUCCCACCCCCAUGUUGCAUACUUUUUUGAGUACACCCUUUCUUCUAGCCUUGGAAGCAGUCAGUAUUCUUCAAGAGUCAGUUCUAGUGAGGGGAAAAUUUAGAAACAAAAAUCUAGAAGCUGAGUGUAGUAGGAGGCUGAGCCAAGACUAAUGUUAAGUUUGAGGCCAUCUUGAUCUUCACAGUAAGUUUGAAGCAAGCCUGCACUGUUUACGAAUUUGUUCAAAAUGAAGGAGAAAACCAAGAUGUAGGCAAUCAGUAUGCUUAAAUUUCUAAUAGAGUAUUAUUUGCAGACUCUCCCAGGGCACAGUGUUAAAUAUAUACAUGUAUCUUAAGUAAGCUUGUUAGGAAGACUGGCAGCAUAUUUUGGGGGUGGCUUUUGCUUGCAGGAUGUAAUAAGCCAGGGGGAAAGUAAUAAACAUUUUUGUCUUCUUUAAAGUCAUCUUUCACCAUGUACCUUGAAAUACUGAAGUUUCUAUAAGAAAUAAUUGUUGAACUUUCAGUUGGUUGUCAGUUUGUAUUACACUUUCCAUUUGUAAGACUUGGAAAUGGAUUUGAGAACUAAUAAACGCUCAGACCUGAAAUUUGCUUGCUAAGCUGUCUUAUGUAGCAGAGAACUGAAUAUCUGAAAACUUAGCAGUUUAUUUGAUUCUUUUGUUGUUGUUGUUAAUUAAUGAUUUUUUUCCUCUUUAAGGUGGUCUCAUGGAUUAUAACCAUUUGGAUAUUUGGUUCACUGACAAUUUUCUUACUGGCUAGAGUUCUUGGUGGAGAAGUAAGUACUUAAUUUUGAAAAAGUAUUUUUCAUAAAAGUGUUUACUUAAAAAAAAAAAAAGAAAAAGUAUUUUUCUUAGUGUUUGUUUUUAUGCUGUUUUCUAGACAGUCUCGUUAGAUAAUCCUAGCUAGCCUGGAACUCACUGUGUGGAUGAAACUGGCAUUGAACUCACAGACCUCAGUCUGCCUCUCUCUCAAGUGCUGGCAUCAAAGGCAUAUGCCACCAUUCCCAGCCACAAAAAUAAAUGGUUCUUGAUCUCAGAAUUAUCCUUAAGUUAUAUUAGUUCUUUUCAGAUGAUAUAUAUUUUUUAAAUCUACUCUAUAAAUACAAGGAAUGAGAGGAGAGGAAAGAUCCCUUCCCACCUAUCAAAUACUAUAUUGCUCUUCAUAGAAGCAUAGAGUUGACAACAGGUCUCCAGCUAGUUCUCAGUUGCCAUAGAGAUUUCUCAGUGUUACCCAGUAUUUGUCCAAAUAGAGAAUAGAUUGGGUUUUUUAUAUUUUUUGAGACAGAGUCUCAUAGAUGAAGGCUUCAGCUUUUGGUCCUUUUGUCUGUAUCUCUCAAGGGAUUGUUAAUAUGUGCCAGCAGUCUCAACCAACAAAUUAAUUUAAAAUACUUAAUUCAAGUUCAUGAACUGGCUAUAUUUUAAGUGUAAAUACUACAUGUUAGCUAAAAAUAACUCUUUCCAAAACAGAAAUGUUAAAAGAAUAGCUUAACAUGUGGCUUCAUGGAAGCCAACCUUUAAGACUGGCUUUCUUCAUUCAGUGCCUUGUGGUGUCUAGUUUUAGGUAAACUAUAUGAAGAAAGCAAGGCUUCACACAGCUGAACAGCUGGAAAAUAGAGUAUUUCAAUAGCUUUUUCAGAUUACUGAACAUUUUGUUCCUAAAUACUACUCCAAAAUGCAGCAAGCAGUAGUUUCUUGAAGGUUUGUUGCAGUUAGGAAUUUGAAUCUAUAUACAUGAACUGGUCAUUAAAAAUUACUCUGAGGUCUGGAGAGUCAGCUCAGUGGUUAAGAGCACUUGUUCUUGCAGAGUACUGGGCUCAGUUCCCAGCAGCCACAUGGUGUUGGGCCACUUGCUUAAACACCAGGCAUACAUGUGGUGCAUAGACACACAUGUAGACAAAACACACAUGUAC
rnacentral:lncRNA from 1 species